CUCACGUCUCACGUCGGCGGUCGGCUGUUUGGCGCCUUUUUUCAGUCAGCUCAAACACCGGCAUGCCCAAACACCAUGGCUCAAACUUAAAAUUUAGUGAGGUUGUUGCCAAAACAAGAUAGUGUUUCAAAAAGCCAAAGAUUACCUUAUGGAUGCAAUUUUACCAAGCUGAAAAGAAGUGAGGCAUACAAUAAUUGCAGUCAAUUUAGUUCUGUGUCUUAACUCUGAAUCGGCAAAGUACCUGAGGCAAUGAACUAAAGCGUUCAGUGUCAGCCUCACCUACCUAUUCAAACUGCCAUACAAUUCUUACUUGCCCUGAAAAAACAAGAACUCCAAUAUCAAGUUUAGGUCAGCAGAAGCAGCAACCCCAUCAGUUUGAACAGCAAUUGCUUGCAUGUAAAAAGGCCCUUUGUCAAGUGCUACACAAUAUCAGCUUGGAGUCAGUGCUACCACAUCCUGUUGACAAACGAGCAUAAAGGCAAGAACAAAUCCUUUCAGAUGGUAAACUUGAGAAAGAAGUUUGGUCAAAGAAAUGAAAACAAAGGACAAAUGGAAACGGAGGAAGUUGUGAGAAGGUGCAGCUGGCAGAAGUGGAUUAUGAAUUCAUGCUACAGUUUCAUGUGGAAUCUUAAUCCAAAGUAGAGCCCGAAGAACCGCCCACUACCAACAGAACUCAAUCCACACACAGAAACUGGCAUGAUUGUGGCAUGCACUUGCUGUGUUUCUGGGGGAGUCGCAAACACUUGAACGUGAAGAGAAAAAGGAAGUAGACCAAAAAAGAAGAAAAUAAAGAACAAGAAAAAGAGAUGCAUAUCAACUACAUAUACUGCGCAUAACACCAAAGGCAUCAAAGGACCUGGAAACACAUGAAUGAAGAUGUUCGUCGUCACGGCCGAUCUUCGCAGAAUCUGUCGGGUGGUACCCAUGUGCCUCAACAGCUAGUUUCUUCAGAUUGACCCACGUCUUCCCACGUCCCACGUAGUUUAUAUUGAUCGUCAGAGGAACUAAAGGGCCGUCAGCCACUUAAUACCACGGGAUGGCGCGUGCUGUGAAAGUGCUCUAACGUAAGUUCCCUUCUGGCGAGCGUCAUGGGCUUCGUUGUCACGCAUCAAAUGCCAAUCUAUUCAUUCUGAUUACAGCGUGUAUUUACGGCGACGUGUCUCGAAGAAAAUGUCAAGAGAGGAUCGUGAUCUUUUUAUUUCUCAGGUAAGCACAGCUCAUUUUAUUUUUAUGUAUUUCAACUCUUCAAAAAUGAAAUGCAUGUAACAGAAAAAAUGACAACAUGUUGUAAUAAUUAAUCAGCUGUUCCCCAACACUGGAAAAAGAUUUGCACUGCUUGGUAGCAACUGGUUAGUUUCAACUGAUUUUGAAAGUUUCAUUCGUUAAAUCAGGAAAUUCUUAAUCAUAAUAUUCUUUAACUAUGGUUCUCAACUUUCUCGGUCUUGACGUUUGCCUUUGCGCUUAACCCAUCUGUGUUCGAUUGCUUCGCUGUUUUCAGAAAAUUCCCUUUGAAGGUUUUUAUAUUGUAAAGCGUCCCCCCCUAUUUUACGCUUCCGCAAGCGCUCUUGCAACCAGUCCUCUGGAUUUUGAAGCUUCGUUGUAUUCUUGAGUAAUUUUCCUCCCAAGGUAUUCGACUUCGUGAUGGUCAAUCUAAACCACACCUCAAAUAGUCGGUAGUGAAAUGUUUACAAACUUUUGCCAUCACUUUUAGCGGUUCCCUUUCGAAAAUGGGUUUCAGCCAAUUCUCAUUGACCGAGUGAAAUAUAUAUAUAUAUUUCGUAUUAAUAUAA
rnacentral:lncRNA from 1 species